UACGAAGGGGCUAGCGUUGCUUGGAAUCACUGGGCGUAAAGCGCACGUAGGCGGAUCGUUAAGUCAGGGGUGAAAUCCUGGAGCUCAACUCCAGAACUGCCUUUGAUACUGACGACCUUGAGUUCGGGAGAGGUGAGUGGAACUGCGAGUGUAGAGGUGAAAUUCGUAGAUAUUCGCAAGAACACCAGUGGCGAAGGCGGCUCACUGGCCCGAUACUGACGCUGAGGUGCGAAAGCGUGGGAGCAACAGGAGU
rnacentral:rRNA from 1 species